CGGGACGGGUGAGUAACGCGUGGGUAACCUGCCUCACACAGGGGGAUAACAGUUAGAAAUGACUGCUAAUACCGCAUAACCCGAUAGGAUCGCAUGAUCCAGACGGGAAAGAUUUAUCGGUGUGAGAUGGACCCGCGUCUGAUUAGCUAGUUGGUGAGGUAACGGCCCACCAAGGCAACGAUCAGUAGCCGGCCUGAGAGGGUGAACGGCCACAUUGGGACUGAGACACGGCCCAA
rnacentral:rRNA from 1 species